CCCGCAGGUGGUCGGAAAACUUCAAGCAGAAGUUUCUAAAGUAAAAUUUCCGCGUCCGGAAAAUUCCGGCGUCGCCAGCCUUUCCGGAUCCCAAGGUUAUUUCGGACAGGACAGGUUAACGGGGUUCUUACGUCACGGCGGUCAGAUGAAAGGGCGCAGGUGAGCAGGUAAGGUAAAUUCUCACCUGUGGGAACUACCCGGAAGUCGUGCAGCUUUGAUCCAGACGCGUCCGUCUAACAACACAGCCAGGAGGUCACAGAUAGAACAGCGGAACGGACGGGCUGCGGUAACCUUGAUCCCAGGUUGACCUUGGGCCUGAGCCCCGGACUGACCUUGGGCCCAAGACUGACCUUGAGCCCCGGGCUGACCUUGAGCUCCAGGCUGACCUUUAGCACCAGGUUGAUCUUGAGCACCUGACUGACCUUGACCUCAGGCUGACCUUGACCCCAUGCCCCCCGGAAGAUGGGGAUUCUGUGCUGCUGUUUCGGCGCGGAGGCUGAGGCCGAGGGAGAGGGGAGAGCGGCGGCGAACGAGAAAACCUCCCUACUUCGCCGCAAGGUCACGGAACCUCCGCUGUCACGUGGCGGAACCGGAAGUGACGCACAAGUGACGUCAGUAAGAUUCAUGAGUAUUAAACGGGCCCGAAGCCGGGAGUCAGUCGCAGAAUCUCCGACUCACGGACAACAAAACGUCCAGGUCUUCCGCGUGCAGGUGCCGCACCUAGACGAGAUGUACAGCGACGCCUGUCAGCUGCUAGCGGAACUGCAGCAGGAGCACCAGAAGCUACAGGAAGGACUGAAGAGGUUCAAAGCGUUGUUUGGCUGCGAUGAAGCCAAGACCCUUUCAGACUGCCUGGUAGAAAUAAACAGCAGACAAAGCGGCACGACGUUCCACCUGAUGUUCUCCAGCGCCCACAGCUUCUCCCUGUGUCCCGAGGGUGACGUUACCGCGCCCCAGGUCACACAGGCCGUGGCCGAGGUCGCCAAUCUUAACCUGGCUCUGAAGGAGAUCAUUAGCCGAGCUCCGAGACUCCAGCUCAGCCUGCAAAGGAUUGUGCGAGAGAAGGAGUCGGACCGGGAACUUGUGGAGCGGGAGCACUGCAACACCUGGGCAGACCGUCAGAGGGCGCUGCUGAACUUUGACAAGAACCUUGCCGUGUUCGAGCAGGGUGUGAGCCGGGUCGGGGAGAUCCGCAGCCGGGCGGAGCAGGUUCUUACGGACGCCAAGGUCGCGGUGGACGGCUAAGAAGGUCACGUGAAGGGCGCGUGAUCGUCACGUGAAGGGCGCGUGAUCGCCUCGUGAUUUAGUCAUGUCAUGCCAACGACAUGAUAAUAAUGAUAACCUUUAUUGCAUAUUCAUGCUAUAAAUGCAAAGAUGAUCACAUGUUAUGUACAACGUGUAAAAUUAAGAAUAAUGUUGCAACACUAUACGAUUGUGGAAAUAUAUUUUGUAGAUUAGUGAUAGCUUCUUCACCCUUUUUAUAACACACGGAUGCAAAGCUAUAUAAAACUUCAUCCAUUACUUUAUAAUGACUAAACGUUGAAUAUCUGACUGGCUUCAACAAAGGAAGAAAAUGUUGAAGAAGAGUUCAAACUAAGGUUUUAGGUUUUAAAGAUGUUUCUCAUUAAGAAAGAAUUCUGUGUUAACUCAUUAUUUUGAGAUAUUACGAGAACCAUUACGAAUGUCUUAUUAAGUGUACUCAUUAUUUUGAGACAUUACAAGAACCAUUAAGAAUUUCUCAUAAGUUAUUCAAUGUACAUGUAAAUGCUACCAUUGUCUAAAAAGUAUUAAGUGUUGUAAUGAAAUACACAAUUCACCAAAAAGGAUGCGAUUUUAACCCGAAUAAAACAAUUUAUUCAUUCAUUCAUUCAACUUGUCUUCAUUACCUUUUUUCUGGUUGAUAAGUAAUCUGCUCAGCCUGCCUUACUCUCUGGGUAUAACCCUGAAAUUUACAUAAAAUUGACUGUUGAUACAAUAUGCAACCUCCUUUAUGAUAAUAAUAUAUAUGUAUGUAUAAUACAAGCCUAGUUUUGUUGUUGUAUUUGAGUACUAGUAUUAAACAGUUAAACCCAAAAACUUUGACACACCUCACAUCACAUUUGGUACUAGUACUCUUCACUGAAAAACACUGAUAGAAUUAGAAAGGUAACAUUUGCAAAGCAAAUGCAUAAUGUUCACCUUCUCAUAUGGUCUGCUCUGUUAAUUCUUACUCAAAUACAUUCAUAUAUAUAGUCAGACAGGAGUAUAAAUCCCUCCUACUGUAAAAUUGCAACAUCUUGUAACCCAACACCAGUUACCAUGGUGAGAGACGUCAACAAAUCAUGAGGUCAUUGGCCAGGUCAGAGGUCAGUGUUUGGAAUGGAAGCCCUGUGACUACUAAAAACUACAUCCAUGAAACAACAGACACGGUAUAUACGAAAAUAGUUUCACCAGGUUGGUUAAGUAUAAGAUAUAGGGGUAAGAGUAGUUACCCCUAUAUCCUAUAGGUAACACAAAGUCAGUUUGCAACAUUUCUCAUGACUGUAUGCAUACAUUAUACAUACAUUGAUGUAGAUCACUGUCUUCAAUAUACAUUAAAUAAAAUUCUAUUUCGAGAUUAUAGAGGCUAACUUUGAUGAAGACAAUACUGUCCUCAAUAUUGCAAUAAACAUUAAAUAAAAUUAUACUUCCAGAUCCUUGAGGCUCUAAUUGUUUCUUUCCACACUUCAAACUAAUUCAACAACAUAUUUCUGAUUUCUUUGACAUGUACAUUAAAUAUAUUAUACAGACAUCAAUGUUAAAACUUUUGUUAAAACUUUGCAGCCCUGAAUGCUGAAUUUUAAGUACAUGAAAACAUUUACAGAUGAAGCAUGCAAAUUUCUAUUAUUUAUUAAUUGGGUGUAGAGGUUGGCAUGUACAGUAAAAGUACAUUUUAUAACUUGAGUAUCUAUGCAAAAGUACAUUUCCUAGUUUGGGCAUGUACAGAAAAGUACAUUAAAUUUUCCUAAUUUGGGCAUGUACAGAAAAAGUACAUUUCCUAAUUUGGGCAUGUACAGAAA